AAACAAUCUUCUCCAUCUUUCUCCAUUACAAGUGCAAAAUGAUAAAGAUUUGUCCUCAAUUAGUGUCUCCUCCGUCCAGAAAGUGAAUAGAUUGACAUCCUACCAAAAACAAU
rnacentral:sRNA from 1 species